CCUACGGGUGGCAGCAGUGAGGAAUAUUGGUCAAUGGGCUUACGCCUGAACCAGCCAAGUCGCGUGAGGGAAGACUGCCCUAUGGGUUGUAAACCUCUUUUGUCAGGGAGUAAUUGGCGCUACGUGUACCGUUAUCUAUAGUAUCUGAAGAAAAAGCAUCGGCUAACUCCGUGCCAGCAGCCGCGGUAAUACGGAGGAUGCGAGCGUUAUCCGGAUUCACUGGGUGUAAAGGGAGCGUAGACGGGCAUGCAAGCCAGGGGUGAAAUCCCGGGGCCAAACCCCGAGACUGCACUUGGAACUGGAUGGCUGGAGUGCAGGAGGGGCAGGCGGAAUUCCUGGUGUAGCGGUGAAAUGCGUAGAUAGCAGGAGGAACACCGGCGGCGAAGGCGGCCUGCUGGACCGCGACUGACGUUGAGGCUCGAAAGCGUGGGGAGCGAACAGGAUUAGAUACCCGAGUAGUC
rnacentral:rRNA from 1 species